rnacentral:rRNA from 1 species
CAGUCGCCGCGGUAAUACGAAGGGUGCAAGCGUUACUCGGAAUUACUGGGCGUAAAGCGUGCGUAGGUGGUGGUUUAAGUCCGUUGUGAAAGCCCUGGGCUCAACCUGGGAAUUGCAGUGGAUACUGGGUCACUAGAGUGUGGUAGAGGAUAGUGGAAUUUCCGGUGUAGCAGUGAAAUGCGUAGAGAUCGGAAGGAACAUCUGUGGCGAAGGCGGCUAUCUGGGCCAACACUGACACUGAGGCACGAAAGCGUGGGGAGCAAACAGGAUUAGAUACCCCUGUAGUCCCUGUCUCUUAUAC